rnacentral:rRNA from 1 species
GAUGAACGCUAGCGGGAGGCCUAACACAUGCAAGCCGAGCGGUAUUUGUUCUUCGGAACAGAGAGAGCGGCGCACGGGUGCGGAACACGUGUGCAACCUGCCUUUAUCUGGGGGAUAGCCUUUCGAAAGGAAGAUUAAUACCCCAUAAUAUAUUGAGUGGCAUCACUUGAUAUUGAAGACUCCGGUGGAUAGAGAUGGGCACGCGCAAGAUUAGAUAGUUGGUGAGGUAACGGCUCACCAAGUCAAUGAUCUUUAGGGGGCCUGAGAGGGUGACCCCCCACACUGGUACUGAGACACGGACCAGACUCCUACGGGAGGCAGCAGUGAGGAAUAUUGGACAAUGGGUUAGCGCCUGAUCCAGCCAUCCCGCGUGAAGGACGACGGCCCUAUGGGUUGUAAACUUCUUUUGUAUAGGGAUAAACCUACUCUCGUGAGAGUAGCUGAAGGUACUAUACGAAUAAGCACCGGCUAACUCCGUG